rnacentral:rRNA from 1 species
UGUGAGAGCAAGAGCCCGGAGAUGGAUUCUGAGACACGAAUCCAGGCCCUACGGGGCGCAGCAGGCGCGAAAACUUUACAAUGCGAGAAAUCGUGAUAAGGGAACCCCGAGUGCCCGUAAAUUCGGGCUGUCCGCCAGUGUAAAUAACUGGUGAAGAAAGGGCCGGGCAAGACCGGUGCCAGCCGCCGCGGUAAUACCGGCGGCUCGAGUGGUGGCCACUAUUACUGGGCUUAAAGCGUCCGUAGCUGGAUUGUUAAGUCUCUUGGGAAAUCCACCGGCUCAACCGAUGGGCGUUCAGGAGAAACUGGCAAUCUAGGGACCGGGAGAGGUGAGAGGUACUCCAGGGGUAGGAGUGAAAUCCUGUAAUCCUUGGGGGACCACCUGUGGCGAAGGCGUCUCACUAGAACGGCUCCGACAGUGAGGGACGAAAGCUGGGGGAGCAAACCGGAUUAGAUACCCGGGUAGUCCCAGCUGUAAACGAUGCGCGUUAGGUGUAUCGGUGACCACGAGUCAUCGAGGUGCCGAAGGGAAACCGUGAAAC